UUGGCAUAUCCAAAAAGCGGAGGAAAAGAAACCAACAGGGAUUGCCCUAGUAACGGCGAGUGAAGCGGCAAGAGCUCAAAUUUGAAAGCUGGCUCCUUCGGGGUCCGCAUUGUAAUUUGCAGAGGAUGCUUCGGGAGUGGCCCCUGUCUAAGUGCCCUGGAACGGGCCGUCAUAGAGGGUGAAAAUCCCGUAUGGGAUGGGGUGCCCACGCCCGUGUGAAGCUCCUUCGACGAGUCGAGUUGUUUGGGAAUGCAGCUCUAAAUGGGUGGUAAAUUUCAUCUAAAGCUAAAUAUUGGCCGGAGACCGAUAGCGCACAAGUAGAGUGAUCGAAAGAUGAAAAGCACUUUGAAAAGAGAGUUAAAAAGCACGUGAAAUUGUUGAAAGGGAAGCGCUUGCGACCAGACUCGCCCUUGGGGUUCAGCCGGCUUUCGGGCCGGUGUACUUCCCCGGGGGCGGGCCAACGUCGGUUUGGGCGGCCGGUCAAAGGCCCUUGGAAUGUAACGCCUCUCGGGGCGUCUUAUAGCCAAGGGUGCCAUGCGGCCUGCCCGGACCGAGGAACGCGCUCGGCUCGGACGUGCUACCCCGGGCAUUGCCCUAGUACGGCGAGUGAAGCGGCAAGAGCUCAAAUUUGAAAGCUGGCUCCUUCGGGGUCCGCAUUGUAAUUUGCAGAGGAUGCUUCGGGAGUGGCCCCUGUCUAAGUGCCCUGGAACGGGCCGUCAUAGAGGGUGAAAAUCCCGUAUGGGAUGGGGUGCCCACGCCCGUGUGAAGCUCCUUCGACGAGUCGAGUUGUUUGGGAAUGCAGCUCUAAAUGGGUGGUAAAUUUCAUCUAAAGCUAAAUAUUGGCCGGAGACCGAUAGCGCACAAGUAGAGUGAUCGAAAGAUGAAAAGCACUUUGAAAAGAGAGUUAAAAAGCACGUGAAAUUGUUGAAAGGGAAGCGCUUGCGACCAGACUCGCCCUUGGGGUUCAGCCGGCUUUCGGGCCGGUGUACUUCCCCGGGGGCGGGCCAACGUCGGUUUGGGCGGCCGGUCAAAGGCCCUUGGAAUGUAACGCCUCUCGGGGCGUCUUAUAGCCAAGGGUGCCAUGCGGCCUGCCCGGACCGAGGAACGCGCUUCGGCUCGGACGUUGGCAUAAUGGUCGUAAGCGACCCGUCUUGAACAACGGACCCAAA
rnacentral:misc_RNA from 1 species